GGUAUGUUAUUUAGCCCCACGAUAAGCCCCGGAAACUUAUUCGUGUUUUUAAAUAAAUC
rfam:Bacillus smithii strain DSM 4216, complete genome.